rnacentral:rRNA from 1 species
UACGGGGGGAGCAAGCGUUGUUCGGAUUUACUGGGCGUAAAGGGCGCGUAGGCGGCCAGCGCAUGUCAGUUGUGAAAUCUCCGGGCUUAACUCGGAACGGUCAACUGAUACUGCGCGGCUAGAGUGCGGAAGGGGCAACUGGAAUUCUCGGUGUAGCGGUGAAAUGCGUAGAUAUCGAGAGGAACACCUGCGGCGAAGGCGGGUUGCUGGGCCGACACUGACGCUGAUGCGCGAAAGCCAGGGGAGCGAACGGG